GUGCUCGCUUCUGCAGCACAUAUACUAAAAUUGGAAAGAUACAGAGAAGAUUACCAUGGCCCUUGUGUAAGGAUGACAUGCAGAUUUGUGAAGUGUUCAGUAUUUUG
rnacentral:snRNA from 1 species